rnacentral:rRNA from 1 species
AGAGUUUGAUCUUGGCUCAGGACGAACGUUGGCGGCGCGCCUCUCCCAUGCAAGUCGAGCGACGGACCUUACUGGGGUUACCCAGUCUGUUACGGAGCGGCGGACGGCCGAGUCUCGCGUCUGCAACCUGCCCCUCGGAGCGGGAUCUCCCUCUCUCUCUGGGGCUCUUACCGCAUACGCUUCUGGGAGCGCAUGUUCCCACAAGGAAAGGGAGGCAACUCCCGCCGAGGGAGGGGCUUGCGUCCUAUCAGCUCUUUGGUCUGGUCUCGGCUCACCAAGGCGAUCUCGGGUCUCUGGCCUCUCUGGGUGGCCAGCCGGACUGGGACUCUCUCACGGCCCAGACUCCUACGGGAGGCAGCAGGGCGGAAUCUUGCGCAAUGCCCGAAAGGGUCUCGCAGCGACGCCGCGUCUGGGAUCUCUCCCUUCGGGGUGUCUACCUCUUUUGCAGGGGAAGAAAUCUCUCGGUACCCUGCGAAUCUGUCCCGGCCAAUUACGUGCCAGCAGCCGCGGUCUCUCGUCUGGGGCGAACGUUGUCCGGAAUCACUGGGCGUCUCUGGUACGCAGGCGGUGGAGAAAGUCGGGUGUCUCUGCCUCGGGCUCAACUCGAGGAGGGCGCUCGAUACUUCUCCACUUCUGGAAGGGAGAGGGAGGUGGAAUUCCCGGUGUCUCGGUCUCUUGCGCAGAUAUCGGGAGGAACACCAGUGGCGAAGGCGGCCUCCUAUCCCUUUCCCUCUCGCUCAGGUACGAAAGCUCUGGGAGCGAACCGGAUUCUAUACCCGGGUCUUCCUCUCCGUCUACGAUGGGUGCUCUGUGUUGGGGAGCUUUCUCUCCUCAAUGCCGAAGCUCUCGCAUUCUGCACCCCGCCUGGGGAGUACGGCCGCAAGGUUCUCUCUCAGAGGAAUUCUCGGGGGCCCGCACAAGCGGUGGAGCAUGUUGUUUCUUUCGAUGCUCUCCGAAGAACCUUACCAGGGCUUCUCAUGCUGGUGGUCUCGAGCCGAAAGGUCUGCGACCCUUUCCCUUUUGGGAAAGGGAGCCAGCACAGGUGCUGCACGGCUGUCGUCAGCUCGUGCCGUCUGGUGUCGGGUUCUGUCCCUCAACGAGCGCAACCCCCGCCCUUCUUUGCCAGCGGCUCUGCUGGGCACUCUCUGGGGACUGCCAGGGUCAACCUGGAGGAAGGCGGGGAUCUCGUCAAGUCCGCGUGGUCCUUAUGUCCUGGGCUACAAACAUGCUACAAUGGGAUGUACAAAGGGAGGCAAUGCCGCGAGGCGGAGCUCUUCCCCAAAGCAUCCCCCAGUUCAGAUUGCAGGCUGCAACUCGCCUGCAUCUCUAAGGAAUCGCUCUUCUCCGCCGGUCAGCCAAACGGCGGUCUAUACGUUCCCGGGCCUUGUACACACCGCCCGUCAACUCAUCCGAGUCGGGGGUACCCGAAGUCGCUGGCC